GCCCAUGCCAGCUCCUUUUUUCAGAAGCUAUUUUGAGUGUAAAACGCAGCGUAUAAUGCUUCAAAUUGCAGAUAGAUUCUGGUCUGUUAACUUGAUCAGCCCUUCAGGUAGUUGUACUGCUACUUUAUCUGCUGGUUGGCAUGCAUUUGCAAGGGAAAAUGCUAUAGAAGUUGGACAUGUUUGUGUCUUUGAGCUUAUUAAGAGGAAUGUAUUGAAUGUAUCCAUUUUUAGAUGCGUCAGUUGACAAUUUCGCCAUUUUCUGUUUUUUG
rnacentral:misc_RNA from 1 species